rnacentral:rRNA from 1 species
AGAGUUUGAUCAUGGCUCAGGACGAACGCUGGCGGCGUGCUUAACACAUGCAAGUCGAGCGGAAAGGCCCUUCGGGGUACUCGAGCGGCGAACGGGUGAGUAACACGUGAGCAACCUGCCCUAGGCUUUGGGAUAACCCCGGGAAACCGGGGCUAAUACCGAAUAGGACCUGGCCUUGCAUGAGGCUGGGUGGAAAGUUUUUCGGCCUGGGAUGGGCUCGCGGCCUAUCAGCUUGUUGGUGGGGUGAUGGCCUACCAAGGCGACGACGGGUAGCCGGCCUGAGAGGGCGACCGGCCACACUGGGACUGAGACACGGCCCAGACUCCUACGGGAGGCAGCAGUGGGGAAUAUUGCACAAUGGGCGGAAGCCUGAUGCAGCGACGCCGCGUGAGGGAUGACGGCCUUCGGGUUGUAAACCUCUUUCAGCAGGGACGAAGCGUAAGUGACGGUACCUGCAGAAGAAGCACCGGCCAACUACGUGCCAGCAGCCGCGGUAAGACGUAGGGUGCGAGCGUUGUCCGGAUUUAUUGGGCGUAAAGAGCUCGUAGGCGGCUUGUCGCGUCGACUGUGAAAACCCGCAGCUCAACUGCGGGCCUGCAGUCGAUACGGGCAGGCUAGAGUUCGGUAGGGGAGACUGGAAUUCCUGGUGUAGCGGUGAAAUGCGCAGAUAUCAGGAGGAACACCGGUGGCGAAGGCGGGUCUCUGGGCCGAUACUGACGCUGAGGAGCGAAAGCGUGGGGAGCGAACAGGAUUAGAUACCCUGAUAGUCCACGCUGUAAACGUUGGGCGCUAGGUGUGGGGGGGCCUCUCCGGGUUCCCUGUGCCGCAGCUAACGCAUUAAGCGCCCCGCCUGGGGAGUACGGCCGCAAGGCUAAACUCAAAUGAAUUGACGG